CAGACAGGUGUCUACGGAGUGGAAAGAAGUUGUUGCAUCUGAUAAUUCUUCAAUCGUGUAGCAGCAACUGCAGCUUACAUGGAAUGAGGAUUAUCGGAUUCAUCUACACUCACUGAUCAUCCAAGGUGAAUUGAUGACCUCAAGCAAAUGGAUGUUGUUGUCAUCUGAAGAGAAGGUUGUCCUGGGCCCAUGUUUAGAGGCAUUUGGGGCAUAUCUGACACAUAUCAGAAUCAAGCUGCAUGCACACUUGAGUUUAUUCAGAGAGAAGUUGUGGGCAUCAGUCCGGAAACUGGAUCAAAAAUUUGCUGCUGGAAUGUGAGACAAAUAAAGGCAUGGAAUGAACCCAAAUGUAUGAACACUGCUACGAAAACUAAUGGACUUUAAAUGGCUUGCCAGUUAAUUCCAAUGGAAUUGAAGAAGAGACUCUGACAAGAUUUUCAAGUUUGUGUUUAAUUUAAAAGUUUAUCUUCAUAGAUAAGCAAUUUAAAGGUAGGCACAGUUAAAACUAUUUCUUGUGUGUUUGUUUAAACUGUAAAUUUAUGACUGAAGUUUGGUCACUAUGUAGUAAUGUGUUCCUUUGUGGUUAAUUAAAUGCUGCAGUGCUUAGUGGUAUUCGUUGUUGUAUUUCCAAGGCUAAAGCCUUAUUUUGUGAUCUGCAUUGUAUUGGAGAGUUUUGGAAACUAAUACUUAUUAUCUUAAUGCAUUGGAAAGUUUUGGACUAUUGAACAAUAAAUGCAUUUGGCUACA